AAUAAAUGACGAGAAAUGUAAAUUUUAUUUUAUUUUAUUUUAUUUUAUAUUUAUACAAAUUUCACCUCGGGGUCCUUGGAGUUAUUCCAAAUGAAAUUAUCAUUAUUUUUUAGAAAAUCCAAUGAAAAUGACGAUCAUUCACGCCCACCUUCACCCUCCGCCAAUAGCUCUCCCCCGAUUCCUCUAAAACACCUAUCAACAUCAUCUCCAACAGCAAAAAAUCAUAAUGUGCAACAGGGAGAUCUGUUUGAACUCAACCCUGAACUCAGCAAAUUCCUCGGAAGACAUUUACGACUCCAAUCACGAUUUUCUAUCGCACGUGGGCCACUGCAAGCACAAGGUCGUGGGUUUGGUCCGUCAGCAGAUGCAGAGGGUCUCCCACGAACUUGAACGUCCAGCCGAACGUAAAGUACAAAUACCCGGGCCACGAUCCCGAGAUGCAUUAUUCACCCCCCGAAGAAAUUAGGGAUGCCUCCAUUGAGAAGGAUAGUCAGACACGGAAAGUAGCGAAGGCCAAUGUGAGGGACAACGAAACUUUAACUUCUCCGAGGCUCGAACCCUCGAUUCUUCCAAAUUUUCUACUCACGAGACCUAAACUACCCCAAUUGGACCAUGUUUACGAGUAUAAAAACGUUAUCGUGGCCUCUCUGGUGAUGUUGGGGGUCGUUUGGAUGGCUCUGGUGCUUGGGGCCCUUCUGGGGGCCUCAAUCUGCGGAGAUAAACAUACGUGUCUCCCGAUUUUUCAAAUGGGAUCGACAAUGCGGUCCAGGCAUUCAUUAUUUUAAUCUCACAUACAAAAAUUCUGAGAAUGAGAAUUAUUUUUUUUUAUUUUGUGAGAAUUUCGUUCUUGAAAAAAGAAAUUCCGAAAGAAAUCCUUUUUGUCAGACUCUGAUAUAAUACAGCCGCAACAACUGGCUCUUAACUGUUGAAAUUUCGAAAAUUCACUCUGACUCACCUUUCGUUCACUGAAUUAAGAACUAAAUAAUAAUAAUAAUAGUGGAGGAUUAUUGUACUUAAUUUUUGUA